rnacentral:lncRNA from 10 species
ACCGACCACUCCGGCUCAGAACCCAGCGGCACGGCACGUCCUUCUCCACCACAGGCCUCAGUCACUUGACGCGAGCGGGGCGUGGACCGUAACGGCGCCUCCAAAGGGACAAAAUUGAUCACGGUGCAACGUCCGCGUUCUUUACUGGAAAACAUCACUGCGCUUCCGUCGCACAGAGCCUGACGAAGGAAGAGUGUCUUCAUCUCUGCAUCCCUAGUGCAACAGAGCAUGACAAAAAUUCAACAAAUAUUUAUUGAAGAGUCUUGAUGUCUUUUGGGAAAGGAACUCUAUGGUUACCUUUACUCUAAGUUAAAAACAACAACAACAACAACAAAAACACAAAACCCUGAGGCUCAGAAGAUAAAUAUUUGCUGAAGAUCACUGUGCUUAUUAGAUGGGUGUUACUGAUUCUUACCUCAGAGAAGAGAAUGUCAUGGAGACAAAAUGACCUGCUUAGAGUUCUGCACCCC